GCCCAUGUAGCUCAGGCGGAAGAGCACAUCCUUGGUAAGGAUGAGGUCACCGGUUCGAACCCGGUCAUGGGCUCCA
rnacentral:tRNA from 2 species